UACGUAGGGGGCAAGCGUUGUCCGGAAUCAUUGGGCGUAAAGGGCGCGUAGGCGGCUAUAUAAGUCUGAUGUGAAAGUGCGGGGCUUAACUCCGUAAAGCAUUGGAAACUAUAUGGCUUGAGGACAGGAGAGGAAAGUGGAAUUCCACGUGUAGCGGUGAAAUGCGUAGAGAUGUGGAGGAACACCAGUGGCGAAGGCGACUUUCUGGACUGUAACUGACGCUGAGGCGCGAAAGCGUGGGGAGCGAACAGG
rnacentral:rRNA from 1 species